CCUACGGGGGGCUGCAGUGGGGAAUAUUGGACAAUGGGGGGAACCCUGAUCCAGCCAUGCCGCGUGUGUGAAGAAGGCCCUCGGGUUGUAAAGCACUUUCAGUGAGGAAGAACGCCUGGUGGUUAAUACCCAUCAGGAAAGACAUCACUCACAGAAGAAGCACCGGCUAACUCCGUGCCAGCAGCCGCGGUAAUACGGAGGGUGCGAGCGUUAAUCGGAAUUACUGGGCGUAAAGCGCGCGUAGGUGGCUUGAUAAGCCGGUUGUGAAAGCCCCGGGCUCAACCUGGGAACGGCAUCCGGAACUGUCAAGCUAGAGUGCAGGAGAGGAAGGUAGAAUUCCCGGUGUAGCGGUGAAAUGCGUAGAGCUCGGGAGGAAUACCAGUGGCGAAGGCGGCCUUCUGGACUGACACUGACACUGAGGUGCGAAAGCGUGGGUAGCAAACAGGAUUAGAUACCCUUGUAGUC
rnacentral:rRNA from 1 species